CAGUAACAGGUAGCAAGAGGAAUAGCUAGAAAAUACACACCCAGUUUAGAGAACUCAUGGAUUUGUUUUUGAUUUGAGGACAAUAACCCUUGACUAAGGGAGAUCUAUCAUUUGCUGAAUGAUCUAGAUCAUCAAUUUUGUUCAACCAAAUGCUGGUGUGUGGAAGGCAGGGAGUGGGGGCAUACUAACCCCCACCUCCAUCAGGAGGUUGCUGAUUCCACAUGGAGAACUUGGCCUUCUCCCC